rnacentral:rRNA from 1 species
AGAUUGAACGCUGGCGGCAUGCCUUACACAUGCAAGUCGAACGGCAGCACGGGAGCAAUCCUGGUGGCGAGUGGCGAACGGGUGAGUAAUACAUCGGAACGUGCCCAAUCGUGGGGGAUAACGCAGCGAAAGCUGUGCUAAUACCGCAUAAGAUCUACGGAUGAAAGCAGGGGAUCGCAAGACCUUGCGCGAAUGGAGCGGCCGAUGGCAGAUUAGGUAGUUGGUGAGGUAAAGGCUCACCAAGCCUUCGAUCUGUAGCUGGUCUGAGAGGACGGCCAGCCACACUGGGACUGAGACACGGCCCAGACUCCUACGGGAGCAGCAGUGGGGAAUUUGGACAAGUGGGCGAAAGCCUGAUCCAGCCAUGCCGCGUGCAGGAUGAAGGCCUU